rnacentral:rRNA from 1 species
AAGUCUCUUGUGAAAUCCUAUAUCUCAAAUAUAGAAAUGCGAGAGAUACUGCAUGGCUAGAGACCGGGAGAGGCAAGGAGUACGGUUAGGGUAGCGGUAAAAUGUGUUGAUCCUAUCUGGACUAACAAUAGCGAAGGCACCUUGCUAGAACGGAUCUGACAGUGAGGGAUGAAGGCUAGGGGCGCAAAACGGAUUAGAUACCCGUGUAGUCCUAGCAGUAAACGCUGCACACUAAACAUUGGGGCCUCCUCGAGAGGUUUCAGUGCUGUACCGAAGGGGAAGAGUGUGCUACCUGGGAAGUAUAGCCGCAAGGCCGAAACUUAAAGGAAUUGGCGGGGAGGUACUACAACGAGUGACGCGUGCGGUUCAAUUAGAUUCCACACCGUGAACCUCACCAGAGCCGACAGCAGGAUGAAGGUCAGUCUGAAGGGCUUACCUGACACGCUGAGAGGAGAUGCAUGGCCGACGUCAGCCUGUGUCGUGAGAUGACCUGUUAAAUCAGGUAACAGGCGAGACCCGUGUGUAUAUUUACUACGUGUACAAUAUACAGACUGCCUUGGUAACAAGGAGGAGGGUGCGGGCUACGUUAGGUGAGUACGUCCCGAAUGCUCUGG